AUAAGAUUCGGACCGUCGCGUCGUCGGUCUACCAAGCUAUUUCACUCGCUCGAUGGAAGAUCUUCCCUUUGUCGU
rnacentral:pre_miRNA from 1 species